rfam:Anopheles gambiae str. PEST whole genome shotgun sequencing project, whole genome shotgun sequence.
UAAUCAGCUCUUUUCAGGGCUACCAAAAAAAUUAUGAAAAGAACUAU